CUACCCUUGACAUGUCAGGAAGUCCGCUGAGAGGUGGAUGUGCUCGAAAGAGAACCUGAACACAGGUGCUGCAUGGCUGUCGUCAGCUCGUGUCGUGAGAUGUUGGGUUAAGUCCCGCAACGAGCGCAACCCUUGUCAUUAAUUGCCAUCAUUCAGUUGGGCACUUUAAUGAGACUGCCGGUGACAAACCGGAGGAAGGUGGGGAUGACGUCAAGUCCUCAUGGCCCUUAUGGGUAGGGCUUCACACGUCAUACAAUGGUCGGUACAGAGGGUCGCCAACCCGCGAGGGGGAGCCAAUCCCACAAAGCCGAUCGUAGUCCGGAUCGCAGUCUGCAACUCGACUGCGUGAAGUCGGAAUCGCUAGUAAUCGUGGAUCAGCAUGUCACGGUGAAUACGUUCC
rnacentral:rRNA from 1 species